UACGUAGGGGGCAAGCGUUGUCCGGAAUCAUUGGGCGUAAAGCGCGUGUAGGCGGGUCGGUAAGUCCGCUCUGAAAGCCCGGGGCUCAACCCCGGGAGGCGGGUGGAUACUGUCGACCUCGAGUCCGGAAGAGGCGAGUGGAAUUCCUGGUGUAGCGGUGAAAUGCGCAGAUAUCGGGAGGAACACCUAUGGCGAAGGCAGCUCGCUGGGACGUUACUGACGCUGAGACGCGAAAGCGUGGGGAGCAAACAGG
rnacentral:rRNA from 1 species